UCCCCGGGGAGCUCAGUUGGUAGAGCGAUCGGCUGCUGACCGAUUGGUCGCAGGUUCGAGUCCUGCCCGGCGAG
rnacentral:tRNA from 1 species